UAUGCUGAAUGAAUUCAUAAUACUCCUCCUCUUUCAGCAGUGGGAUGGAACGUGUCACAUCAAUAACACAUGUGAACCCCUUUCCCACCUAUUAAACAGACUGAUUUACCUCCAUUAGAAGCAGAGCAUUUCCAGCAGAAGCUGGAUGAGACGACAGUGUUGCUGAGGGAGCUGCAGAAGGUUCAGAAAGAGAGACUGAGCGCUAAACAGCCGCCAAACAUCAUCUGCCUACUGGCUCCUACUGCUAAAGAGCUGCAGCUUGCGGAGAAAGUUACGGGUAACCUGGCCCAGCUGACCAGUCAGGUGACCCCCGGUGACGUGUGCAGUGUGUACGGUAUCAGAAAGGCCAUGGGUAUCUCGCUACCUAACCAUACUGCACAGGAUUCGUUCACACACCUGACCACAGUGGGAGAUAUAACUGAACCCAUGGAGGGAGUGUGUUGAGAUCCUCCAUCAUUGCAAUCUAUCAGUUCUGCUUAUUCCAUGUCAUCCCUCAAUGGUGCUGUUUCUAA